rnacentral:lncRNA from 1 species
CCCGAGCAGGCCUUGUGAGCAUUACACUGGCCGGUGCCUUCUGUCUCUGAGGGGAUAAUAUGUUAGAUAAAAUCUGCUACUCAAAUGAUGCUAAUAAGGUCACAACAUCUCCAGAAGAACUCCUGCAGAGGCAAUUCCAUUGAGGAAAUGACAAACUCAGGACACAGAAAGGCUGCUGAAUCUGCCCAGCACCCCCAGCACAGAUCAGCAUCUACCAUAACCACUCACCAGAAGACAGUGCCUAUCUGCAAACAGCUAUCGGCUUAAAAACACACCCAGCGAAACAAGGGGCCCAACUGAUGCCAAGAGUACAUUAAUGUUCUGAUAAAUACUGUGAUCUGCUUCUACCUGACUGGAUACACUGCUGGGGAAAUUUCCAGUAAUCUUACUGUACUGCUGAAAAGUUGCCAGUGGAAAACAUGCCCUUAUUCUUCAGUGUUCAAAUGUAAUUAUUACAGAAAGAAUGGUAAUUAUUUUUGAAAUUGUUUGCAUUUGUGGCUUCAUGUGCAGAUGCUGUUAUGUCUGAAAUACUCAUUUAAUCAUUGUAGACCAGAUUAUCUAACUCCACUCCCAUUGCUGCCACUGCAUGCAGACUGUUGGAUUUUGGCAUCCUGAGGGCUCUUGCAGAUUGGAUACUUCAAAACCCAGAUGAGAAGAGCUAUGGGCAGACAUAAAAUGGAGUCUCUCAUAAACACCAGAAGCUCUGUCUUAUCAUCUGACAGAAAUCAGUAGGCAACAAUUUGCCCAUCAGGCAUGACAGCUCUAACCCACAUGAGGAUUACAAUUAAAAAAAAAUAAUAGUUACUCAUGCUCUUGGUGAGU